rnacentral:lncRNA from 1 species
GGGUGAAGUGUGGAAAGCAGCUCUGGUUUUUUGGGAGUAGCUCCUGGCUGGAGCUUCUCCAUGAUUUCUCCCAGCCGUUUGCCAUCCCAGCUCGCAGGCUGUGUGCAGGAAAAGGGCAGUACAGUCCUAGGGAUGUCAGGUUCAUCAUUUCCUAUUUUCCUUUGCUUUUUAUUCCCAUUCUAGAGACCAUCCCAGAGAGGGCUGUGUGCUGUUUAUACACUGGAACUUUGCAGAUUUGUUGUUGUUUCUGUUUUUAUUUGUAUCUUUCUGCUUUUUGGCUUUUGGCGAGGAGUGUGCUGAACCAGAUGUGCUGGAACCCAGACCCUCUGACUUCCUGUUCCUCAAGGCCGUGAAGAGUUGAUCAAUCCACUCACACGUGCUGGACCAGAUGGGUUUGAGAGGGACGAUGGAGAUCUGCUGGGGAUGCGGCUCGCUCCUCUGCUGGUUUCUCUGCAUGGCGACGAGCUUCACCCUCAGCAGAUACACAUGGCUUUUGGAACUGGGUAAUUGUGUCUUGUUUUGGAAUGUCUCAGGUGCUUUUGGUGGGAAAAAUAGCCAAACAGGGCAAGAAAUAGAAGAUACUGUAUGACUGAACCUUCUCACAUCUUUCCAAACCAACCUCCUCCAAAAGAAUGGUCCCAAUAAGCACCAGUAAAUCUGGAUGCUGUGGGAAACACGUCCAUCUUCUCAUGUUUGCUUUUCUGGAGGGGUUUUCUGCAAGGCUUUAGGGCUUUGGUUGCUUGUUCCUUGUUAACGUCGCAAUAUUGGGAUGCCUUGGCGUGCUCUGCUCUCUGGUAGGGUCUAUAUAACAUCCAUGAGCUGUUGUCUACAUUCCAAAGAGGUUUAAAUAAAUGAUAAAUCUAUGUAUACAUAUAUGUUAUAAUGGAAUAUCUCCAGGAAUUAUCUGCCUCAGUAGAAAAAGAAAAAAAAAGUGGUCUUUUUUUUUUGGUUUAGUUUUGUUUUUACAAAUGGGAUUUUCUUUUUAAGCUGAUAGAAAAAGAAGAAGAAGAAAAAAGA